AUCUUUCCAUAUCCGUGCAAAUAGAGCUGAUGCCAAAAGGUGAUCAGAAGAUGAAGGAACCUCAAGAAACUUGCCCCCUACCAAAGUCAAGUCCUUUAAAUAAGUGAGUUUAAGAAAUACUUGCUGGAAACCUUAACAAUGGAAUUCGGUAUGUAAAUUAGUUUCAACAGGCUAAGCUCUGAGAAAGACUCUCUCAUCCGCACCUGUGAACCAUAGCAAAAAACUGCUGUUAAUUCUGAGAGGUGUAUGUCUCGGGACAGAGUCCUGAUAACACAGUGACUACUAUAAAGCUACGUUCGUACAAAUGUUUUAAGGAGUGCUCUGUUUUCUGUCACAUCAAGAAGUUAUCGCUGACAGGAUGCCUCGCUGGAAGUGAAAUCUCAACACUAGGGACCGUCCGUGGUGCAUUUACACAUGCCCAGUUUCUACUACGAAUGACUAUCAGUACUCCUACGUAUCAAUUGAAGAGAUUACUAGUCCUGUUACGGCUUUUUCAGAACUGCUGGCUGCAAUUUGCCCAACAGAUACGAGCACAAUUUACUCUGGGCUUGCAUAGCACUUAACACGCACUUCCAUGGCGGAUGCCCAAAUUAUUCUUUGCUGCUUCGUGACUGAUUGUUAUGCCUGGGAAAAUGAACUGCAGUAAGUGCUCAGUUGACCUGAAUUUUCAUGAACAAAUAGUUAUU
rnacentral:lncRNA from 1 species